ensembl:miRNA
UUGUUUGUCUGCAACACCUUAAGCUUUCAAAGAACUCCUGCCUCCUGUUUGGGACGUUGCUCUGCAGCAA